GCCUAGGUGGCUCAGCCGGUUGAGCGUCUGACUUCGGCUCAGGUCAUGAUCUCAGGCUCAGGUCAUGAUCUCAUGGUUCGUGAGUUCGAGUCCCGUGUUGGGCU
rnacentral:tRNA from 1 species